rnacentral:rRNA from 1 species
AAGUCGUAACAAGGUUUCCGUAGGUGAACCUGCGGAAGGAUCAUUAUCGAGUUUUGAACGGGUUGUCUGCUGGCUCGCGAGAGCAUGUGCACGCCUGUCUCAUCCACUCUCAACUUCUGUGCACUUUUCAUAGGCCGGCUUGUGGGUGCGUUCGCGCACUUGUAGGUGUCGGGCUUAUGCUUUAUUACAAACGAUUCAGUUUUAGAAUGUCAUACUUUGCUAUAACGCAAUUUAUAUACAACUUUCAGCAACGGAUCUCUUGGCUCUCGCAUCGAUGAAGAACGCAGCGAAAUGCGAUAAGUAAUGUGAAUUGCAGAAUUCAGUGAAUCAUCGAAUCUUUGAACGCACCUUGCGCUCCUUGGUAUUCCGAGGAGCAUGCCUGUUUGAGUCUCAUGGAAUUCUCAACCUUCAGCUUUAUUGAUGAAGGCUUGGACUUGGAGGUCGUGCCGGCUCUCGUAGUCGGCUCCUCUGAAAUGCAUUAGUGCGAACGUUACCAGCCGCUUCAGCGUGAUAAUUAUCUGCGUUGCUGCGGAGGGUAUUCUAGUGUUCACGCUUCCAACCGUCUUCGGACAAAUUUCUGAACUCUGAGCUCAAAUCAGGUAGGACUACCCGCUGAACUUAA